CUAAAGGAAUGCUAAUACCGCAUACGUCCUACGGGAGAAAGCAGGGGAUCUUCGGACCUUGCGCUAUUAGAUGACCUUACUUCCGAUUACCUAGCUGGGGGGGUAAAGGCCUACCAAGGCGACGAUCUGUUUCGGUUUUGAAAGGAUGAUCCGCCCCUCUGGGAUUGACACACGUCCCACACUACUACGGGAGGCAGCAGUGGGGAAUAUUGGACAAUGGGCGCAAGCCUGAUCCAGCCAUGCCGCGUGUGUGAAGAAGGCCUUAUGGUUGUAAAGCACUUUAAGCGAGGAGGAGGCUACUUUAGUUAAUACCUAGAGAUAGUGGACGUUACUCGCAGAAUAAGCACCGGCUAACUCUGUGCCAGCAGCCGCGGUAAUACAGAGGGUGCAAGCGUUAAUCGGGAUUUACUGGGGGGUAAAGCGCGCGUAGGCGGCUAAUUAAGUCAAAUGUGAAAUCCCCCGAGCUUAACUUGGAAAUUGCAUUCAAUACUGGUUAGCUAGAGUGUGGGAGAGGAUGGUAGAAUUCCAGGUGUAGCGGUGAAAUGCGUAGAGAUCUGGAGGAAUACCGAUGGCGAAGGCAGCCAUCUGGCCUAACACUGACGCUGAGGUGCGAAAGCAUGGGGAGCAAACAGGAUUAGAUACCCUGGUAGUCCAUGCCCGUAAACGAUGUCUACUAGCCGUUGGGGCCUUUGAGCUUUAGUGGCGCAGCUACGCGAUAGU
rnacentral:rRNA from 1 species